UGCUCUCACGUCAUGUGAUUCUUAGCCUACCUUCCAGCUGAGCUCUCUUCAAACACUGGUCUACCCCAUGGCUUACCCUUUGACCCAAGCUUGGCUCCCACGUGCUGUUGGAGCUGCUGUCAGCAGAGUUCAUUCUCUCUCUCUCUCUCUCUCUCUCUCUCUCUCUCUCUCUCUGUGUGUGUGUGGUGUGUGAGUGUGUGGUGCUGUGUGUUUCAACUCCUGAUGUGCUCAGGAAGAUGUUCCUAGCAAAUUUAGGAUUACAGCUGGUUUCUCUUCAUCUAGAGGAUCUUCCUUCAAGCUGACCUUUGGAGGGGGUUUUGAACUGAAGUCUUGUUUGAUAAUGUGUGGUCUCCUGACUGCAGACAGGGGCGCUGGCCUUCCCCAUUCUCCUCUCUGACUGUUGCCGUCACGGCCUUCUUCCGGUUGACCCCACGUGGCAAACACCCUGGGAAGACAAACUCAAAGUUCUACAGCACACCUCUGAGGACCGAGCGUAUCACUGGACUGAUUCUGAUUGUGCGGGUCUGUAGAACAUCCUCUGAAGGUGCUGUGGGGUGAACUCCAUCCAUACUGUGAAGUCUCAUAAGAAGCAUUUUCUCCCUGGAGGCUGUGGUGUCCAAUCAUCAUGCUGUAGUAGACAUAACUUCCAUUCUGUCAGGACCUCAGUGACCACUGGUUUCUCUGGAGACUUCUUCCAACCUGGGGGAGGCCCUGUGAAUUGCCCAGUAACAUGCCCAUGGAAUGGGUCCUGUUCCCAGCAAGGAACUGUCCAAAUGCAACAUGGUGGUGAAGAUGCAGAGUCCAGAGCCUGAAGACCUGGUAUAAGUUCCCAGCUUGCUGCCCACUCCCUGAGAGACUAUGCGUGGACAGGAUAUUUAGGUGCCAUAGGAAAAAAAAACAGAUCAAAGUGGUAAUGCAUCUUCAGACACCAGACCAGUGGCAAAGAGGCAUCUGGCAAGCUAGCGGCAGGAGCUCCCUUUGGAAAUGAACAAUACUGCUGUGCACAGACUGCAGAGAACACGCCCUGAUCUGGAAGAUGUCCUGAGAACAUCUGCCACUAUGCUGAGGUGUAAAGACGGGGACAAGAUCAAUAUGGUAUCAUCAACAAGCUGACCUGAAUAAGUCCCUUCCCUGGGCCCUAUCUUGUCACCCAACUGAUAAAAGGCAGUCAAUAAAA